UUACUACUCCCUCCGUCCCAUAUUAAUUGUCGAAAUAUUGCAUGUAUCUAGACGCUUUUUAGGCCUAGAUACAUCCAUAUUUGGACAAAUUUGAGACAAUUAAUAUGGGACGGAGGGAGUAUAUU
rfam:Brachypodium distachyon strain Bd21 chromosome 1, whole genome shotgun sequence.